CCUUAUUGGUAAUCGCUGCCUUCCAUCACUGUCAGUACCAGUGAAGGCUCAUGGGAGAUACAGGCCUGUAAAGUUGCUGUUUCCGCCAAAACACACUCGUCCAGUUGAAGCUAUCAGUAACCACAUCUGAGCUUAUCACCUCAGCAAACAGUACAGCGCUACACACAGCUGUAAGCAUUUAUAAGCCAUGAACGUGUGCAUGACUUCCUUUUAGAUCUUAUUUAAGUGUUGUGCUGUCUGUUUUAAAGCAGUUUGGCAAGCUGGGGUUUUUCUGAUGGUUUCUUUAUAGUCACCCUGUUUAUUGGGGUCUGCCUUUACGUGGCCUCGUAGGAAAAACAAGACUACAGAGAACAUCUCGUGCUCGUCCCAUUGUUAUGGGAAAGACUGGGUGCAGAUAGGAUUUUUACAGCAGGUCUGGGCAGCCUGGUUUGUCUAAAGCUCAAAUAGAGUGCUUGAAAAUCAAUGAGGGAGGAACUCAGGCAUCUUCACUGCCUUCUGAAGAGAAACAGAUGUUGCUAAAUUUCCUCUUCUUGUAAAGACGAUCCAGGCAGGGCAACACAAUUAAACUGGUGCUGGCAGGAUUUGCCUGUUCUUUUGAAUUACUACAAAUUUGUAAUGUACCAGUGAGUAUGUUUUUAUAUUAAUAUUUUAUCUUUAUUGGUUCCCAUUGUAAAUGGGUUUAGAGGAGUGCAGGUCUUGUAUGAGCACUUGGGGGCUAUUAAAGUGAUAAGUGGAUGACUGGAGACAUGGCAGGUGCUGCUGUUGAUCAGGCUACAGUCACAUUGUGAGACAUACCAGGGUAUUAAACAAACACUUUGUUCCAGAAUGUACCAAAGUAGUGGGUGGAUAAUAAAAUUAUUGGCCCAUUUUUGGCGAGCCAUUAUAGAGUAUCUGCAUCCAUGUAACCUCCAAGGAAUGCCCUGGUAAGUGAUGAUAACGUCUAGUAGUAGAGACCUGGUCCAAAGCAAAGCGGUUUGGUAAGAGCCAAUCCAAAGUCUCCAAAACCUACACUGUGCC